rnacentral:rRNA from 1 species
ACCAAUGCCCUCCGGGGCUCCUUGGUGAUUCAUAAUAACUUAACGAAUCGCAUGGCCUUGCGCCGGCGAUGGUUCAUUCAAAUUUCUGCCCUAUCAACUUUCGAUGGUAAGAUAGUGGCUUACCAUGGUCUCAACGGGUAACGGGGAAUUAGGGUUCUAUUCCGGAGAGGGAGCCUGAGAAACGGCUACCACAUCCAAGGAAGGCAGCAGGCGCGCAAAUUACCCAAUCCCAAUUCGGGGAGGUAGUGACAAUAAAUACUGAUACGGGGCUCUUUCGGGUCUCGUAAUUGGAAUGAGUACAAUCUAAAUCCCUUAACGAGGAACAAUUGGAGGGCAAGUCUGGUGCCAGCAGCCGCGGUAAUUCCAGCUCCAAUAGCGUAUAUUAAAGUUGUUGCCGUUAAAAAGCUCGUAGUUGAACCUUGGACCUGGCUGAUCUGUCCUCCUAAUCGAGCGCACGGAUUCGGUCGGGUCUUUCCUUCUGGGGAGCCUAUGCCCUUCACUGGGUGUAG